rnacentral:rRNA from 1 species
GGAUCCAGACUUUGAUCCUGGCUCAGGACGAACGCUGGCGGCGUGCUUAACACAUGCAAGUCGUACGAGACGAUUGAAAGCUUGCUUUUGAGAGUCGAGUGGCAAACGGGUGAGUAACGCGUAGACAACCUGCCGUAAAGAUGGGGACAACAGUUCGAAAGGACUGCUAAUACCGAAUGUUGUAGAGUUUCCGCAUGGGGAUCCUACUAAAGGUGGCCUCUACUUGUAAGCUAUCGCUUUACGAUGGGUCUGCGUCUGAUUAGCUAGUUGGUGGGGUAACGGCCUACCAAGGCGACGAUCAGUAGCCGGUCUGAGAGGAUGAACGGCCACAUUGGAACUGAGACACGGUCCAGACUCCUACGGGAGGCAGCAGUGGGGAAUCUUCCGCAAUGGGCGCAAGCCUGACGGAGCAACGCCGCGUGAGUGAAGAAGGGUUUCGACUCGUAAAGCUCUGUUGUCGGGGACGAAUGUGGAGAUGGUGAAUAACCAUUUUCAAUGACGGUACCUGACGAGGAAGCCACGGCUAACUACGUGCCAGCAGCCGCGGUAAUACGUAGGUGGCGAGCGUUGUCCGGAAUUAUUGGGCGUAAAGGGAGCGCAGGCGGGAAGGUAAGUCUAUCUUAAAAGUGCGGGGCUCAACCCCGUGAGGGGAUGGAAACUAUCUUUCUUGAGUGCAGGAGAGGAAAGCGGAAUUCCUAGUGUAGCGGUGAAAUGCGUAGAUAUUAGGAGGAACACCAGUGGCGAAGGCGGCUUUCUGGACUGUAACUGACGCUGAGGCUCGAAAGCGUGGGGAGCGAACAGGAUUAGAUACCCUGGUAGUCCACGCCGUAAACGAUGAAUGCUAGGUGUAGGAGGUAUCGACCCCUUCUGUGCCGGAGUUAACGCAAUAAGCAUUCCGCCUGGGGAGUACGGCCGCAAGGCUGCAACUCAAAUGAAUUGACGG